rnacentral:rRNA from 1 species
GACGUAGGGCGCGAGCGUUGUCCGGAUUUAUUGGGCGUAAAGAGCUCGUAGGCGGUUUGUCGCGUCUGCUGAUGAAAACUGGAGGCUCAACCUCCAGCCUGCAGUGGGUACGGGCAGACUAGAGUUCGGCAGGGGAGACUGGAAUUCCUGGUGUAGCGGUGAAAUGCGCAGAUAUCAGGAGGAACACCGGUGGCGAAGGCGGGUCUCUGGGCCGGAAUACUGACGCUGGAGGAGCGAAA